GCUUGACUCCAGCUUCCUUCUUCACAGGGUUCCAUUUUGCAGACAGAGAGACGGGGCACAGAGAAAGAAAGGAGCCGGAGCAAGGCUAGGGUCACAGAAAAGCCCAUUCAGAGCCUGGGGCUUCUUCUCACAGGCCUCUGUAUUCCACAAACUGAAGGGACACGCUUUGAUGCUACCUGUCUCCAGACAGCUUGACUCUACCUUUGAGCCUUGAGCAUAGCACGCUGAGCCCCAAGGACCUUCUCCGUACAGCAGAAGGUGUGAUUGUGAACACGUGGAAUUGCCAACAAUUUUCCUCCUCCAUACUCAAGAGUGUGAACCUGGCCCCACAGAGGCUGCCCAUCCAGCUGGCUCCCC